AAGACUUUGCAAUGAUUUGAUAACCAUGUGCAGGAUACUUAUUUAAGCCUUUCCCAAUUCUCUAGUAACCUCACUGGGCCAGGCCGGGUUCAGUACACCUCUUCACCAGGGGCAUGGCUUCUGAUCACAUUUGGUGUCACC
ensembl:misc_RNA